GGGCGGCUAGCUCAACUGGUUAGAGCGCGUCGUUGACAUCGACGAGGCAACAGGUUCGACCCCUGUGCCGCCCACCA
rnacentral:tRNA from 1 species